UAGCUGUGGAGGAUCGUGUCCGUACUCUUGAGGGAAUGAAUGGUGGUGGUCAAGUACUAUUCAUUUUGGACCUUCUUAUGUGCAGCAGUGGGAACAUUCUUUAACAUCUAUAUUGGCGGGAAGUACGAGACAUAUGUUUGUAAUUUGAACCAAAAUCGUACG